UUUGAUCCUACGGUCAGGAACUCACCCAACCCAUAGCAUAUAGAUGUCAGAAAACCCUAAUUCCCCAAAUAUCCAUUCUCAAAAACUCAUCUCUCUCACCCUUCAUCGUUGCCGCCACCGUAAAUGGCCUAUGACGACGACCCACACCCCAAAAUUAUACCGCAUAAUUCCCACAACUUCCUAAAUCCUAAUCCCUCAUCAAUUUCCACAGAAAACCACCCGAACCUCACAAAUUUCAGAUCUUAGAAUGCGCAGAAAGCAUAGUUCGUGCCCCAUUUAAUUUUUCUUUUAAUCCAAGUUUAUCUUAUGCUACAACUUGGUUGAAAGCUAUCACGUGAUGUUUGUUUCGCGGCAUUUGGGAGUCACCAAGUUAUUGGCCAAAUCUUCAGUGAUGUGCCGAGUUUUCUUCUUCUUCCACCUCCUUAUAUUCGAUUCUCUGGCCAAGCUAUGGUCGUUAUCAUUACAUGCAGCCAUUGUUUCUGUCUUUCGAGCAUGAAUUAAUGCUCGUGUGAUGAUAUCGACCAUUACUCCGAUUGUUUGAAGCAACAAUUAUGUCAUCAAUGGGUAAUCCUUCCUUAUGUUCUUUUAUGGUCUUUUUGCUUAGUUGUAUUAUCUACUGUUAGUUUAGUUUUCGGCUAAUCACAGUAUGUUUUAGCUUAGUUUCAAUUAUACUUAGUUGAAUUUGCUAAAUUAUCAUUUGAAUUUCUUGUUUAAUGAUGCAUCAACAUUUGACUAUUAGUGUGUUCUUUCAUAUGUUUAGCGUGUUUAGAUUAGGUAGGAUUCAAAAUUCAAUAAUCCUGUGUUAGGUUAAUAGCUUAGGUGCAUACCAGUUAGUAACUACAAGUUUGUAGGUUAAUUGAUUUUGAUUAGUUAACUACAGAUCUAAAUUAGGUUAAUCACCUAAAAUGGGUGGGAGUUCGAAUUUUAUUUUGCUUUGUUGUGAUUUUUAAUCACUUUAAGUUUCUUGUGAUAGCUAUGUAAUUAACAAAAGUUGAAGGGUCAAAGGAAUUUGAAAAAUUAGGAAAUUUGAGUUGGUUAUGUGGGAAGCUUCUAGAAAAGGAUUAAAGUGCAAUAAAAAGAAAACUAUAUCAGAAAUUAGGUUGAAAUGGGUUAAAGUUAAGGGGGCGAAAAAUGUGGGGGAAUAUUUGAAUGGACAACUGUCCAAUUUAGUAUUAAAAGAUGCUCUUUUCCAGAAAUUUAGGGACUACAUUCUUAGAACUAUUCCCUUUUCAUCUUUGUGCACAUGGCAGAUUUUGUACACUAUAUAUAGAGACAUAUUCUCUGCAUUUGGAUGAAGAGAUAUUCUUGCAUUUUUCAGAGAUAAUCCUAUUGACUCAUCUUCAAUCUCAUUUUCUUACAAAAUUUUGGAAUUACAACCUUCAAAUUUCAGAAAAAUACUAAAAAACUAAAAAGAAAUCUUCAUUUAGCUUCAUUCAUUGGUGUUAGGCUUCAUCUUUCUAGUUUUUUGAAGCUCAGUCUAGUUUCAAUCUCUGUUAUUUGAUGCUGUAUUGUCAAGCUGUUGGUUGAAUCUGAUUUUUGGCCUCACUUCUCCAAAAUCAGAGAUUUAUUUUCUCUUUUCUUUAUUGUGUUUGCUGUUGUUAAGGUAUUCAUUUUACUAUUAUUGGAUGUAACAACAUUUAAAUGCCAUAAUAUCAUCAGAUUUGCAACCAUGGGUUGAAUACAUGUUUGAUAAAUGCUCUUUAAAGUAGUUUGGUCAUUUAUGUAUUUUCUUUGGAUGUUUUCUGCCAUGUUUGUCUGUGAGUAGAGCUGGAUCUGAAAUCUCAGCAUAUAGAAUUAGUCUGAAUCCGAACAUAACUUUUUUUUUAUGUAAUCAUGCCUUUUAGUUACAUUAGUUUGAUCAAUAAAAAUGAAGUUAAAGUUGAGAUUUUCAGAUUGAUUUGAAGUUGAAGAAACAUCCAUAUCCAGCAGUAAUGUAGUGACCAGUGCCAUAUAGACUUAGAAUGUUGAAGAAGAAGUAUAGUAGAGUCCAUUUGUAUAAUAUGUAAUCUCAAAUGUGUCUAUGACUAGUUUUGAAUUUGAAGCUUGUCUUUUCUGUAUAACUGAUAUAAAACGAAUUCAUCAUUGAGUUUUUAGCUGAUAUGUGUUAGAAUGUUUAGAAGCAUUAACAUGUUUGCUCAGUAAAAGGAUCAGAAGUUGAAUUGUUAGGUUUUAAUAACAUAGAUAAGGUCUCAAGCAUCAAGUUUUGAAUUUCGUUUGGUUUAAAUAAGCAUGGAGUUCAACUAGAGCGAGAACUGAUGUUUGAAUAAAUAGUAAUCCUAGUUAGGCAAUGUUUUAAGCCUAGAAAAUUGAUAUUUUGCUAUAAAAUUGAUAGAGUUAUAUGUUGAUUCAUUUGAAACUGAUUUUAUGACAGUGCUUGGUUUUUCAAUGUUGUUUAAAUUUGCAAAAAUGUAGUUUGGCAAAAUCAAAGUCUGCACGUAGUUUCACAUUUGUUCUGGCUUGGUAAUGAGUUGUCCCAGUUGAUAUGAUAUUUAGUGGCUAAGGACUUCAAGUCUACUCAAUGAAAGCCUGCAUGUAGUGUGAUUCGACCAACCGUUUAGGCCCAUUGUUGUCAGCAGCUAGGCAAACAACGCUGCUAUGUUGAUUUUGUUUUAGAUUCCAUUUAUUUCUAAAUACAAACGUUCUUCUUACCCCGUCUGAUUGGGUACAUGCUCGCGUAACAUAAUUAUGAUUUCUUAGAAAUAAUUCAAAGUACGUAUUCGCGCGACUUUAGCCAAACAAUCUUAAGAUUAAUAAAGUAUGAUUAAUUAUGUACACCUAUGUGUGACAUGAUUUUAACGCCACAAAUAAAGUAGAUU
rnacentral:lncRNA from 1 species